GUGGGGAAUCUUCCGCAAUGGACGAAAGUCUGACGGAGCGACGCCGCGUGAGUGAAGAAGGCCUUCGGGUCGUAAAGCUCUGUCAUCAGGGACGAACGGCCGGUGGAGUGGAAAGCCACCGGAUUGACGGUACCUGAGAAGGAAGCCACGGCUAACUACGUGCCAGCAGCCGCGGUAAUACGUAGGUGGCAAGCGUUGUCCGGAAUUAUUGGGCGUAAAGCGCGCGCAGGUGGGAUCUUAAGUCCAUUUUUAAAGUUCGGAGCUCAACUCCGUGAUGGGAUGGAAACUGGGAUUCUUGAGUACCGGAGAGGAAAGCGGAAUUCCCCGUGUAGCGGUGAAAUGCGUAGAUAUUAGGAGGAACACCAGUGGCGAAGGCGACUUUCUGGACUGUACCUGACGCUGAGGCGCGAAAGCGUGGGUAGCAAACGGGAUUAGAUACCCGUGUAGUCC
rnacentral:rRNA from 1 species